GCAGCCGCCACGGGAAUACAGAGGGUGCGAGCGUUAAUCGGAUUUACUGGGCGUAAAGCGUGCGUAGGCGGCUUCUUAAGUCGGAUGUGAAAUCCCUGAGCUUAACUUAGGAAUUGCAUUCGAUACUGGGAAGCUAGAGUAUGGGAGAGGAUGGUAGAAUUCCAGGUGUAGCGGUGAAAUGCGUAGAGAUCUGGAGGAAUACCGAUGGCGAAAGCGGCUCACUGGACCAUAACUGACGCUGAGGCACGAAAGCUAGGGGAGCAAACAGGAUUAGAUACCCCUGUAGUCCCUGUCUCUUAUAC
rnacentral:rRNA from 1 species